GAUGAACGCUGGCGGCGUGCCUAAUACAUGCAAGUCGAGCGAACAGACGAGGAGCUUGCUCCUCUGACGUUAGCGGCGGACGGGUGAGUAACACGUGGAUAACCUACCUAUAAGACUGGGAUAACUUCGGGAAACCGGAGCUAAUACCGGAUAAUAUAUUGAACCGCAUGGUUCAAUAGUGAAAGACGGUUUUGCUGUCACUUAUAGAUGGAUCCGCGCCGCAUUAGCUAGUUGGUAAGGUAACGGCUUACCAAGGCAACGAUGCGUAGCCGACCUGAGAGGGUGAUCGGCCACACUGGAACUGAGACACGGUCCAGGCUCCUACGGGAGGCAGCAGUAGGGAAUCUUCCGCAAUGGGCGAAAGCAUGACGGAGCAACGCCGCGUGAGUGAUGAAGGUCUUCGGAUCGUAAAACUCUGUUAUUAGGGAAGAACAAAUGUGUAAGUAACUAUGCACGUCUUGACGGUACCUAAUCAGAAAGCCACGGCUAACUACGUG
rnacentral:rRNA from 1 species